rnacentral:misc_RNA from 1 species
UUUCCCUUUACCCUCUUUAAACCCUAGCUCUUUUGCCCCCUUUUCUUUGUUGCUCUUCAAUUUUUUCUGCUUGAUCGAAGAUGAGUCGACCAAUGGAAGAGGAUGCCCCUCAAGGGAAAAAUGAGGAAGAGGAGUUCAAUACUGGGCCACUUUCUGUCCUCAUGAUGAGUGUUAAGAAUAACACACAGGUGCUCAUCAACUGUAGGAACAACAGGAAACUUCUUGGUCGUGUGAGAGCAUUUGAUCGUCACUGCAAUAUGGUGCUUGAAAAUGUUAGAGAAAUGUGGACUGAGGUGCCCAAGACUGGAAAAGGAAAAAAGAAAGCUGUUGCUGUUAACAAAGAUAGGUUUAUCAGCAAGAUGUUCCUUCGGGGAGAUUCUGUGAUCAUUGUCCUCCGAAAUCCCAAGUAGAGAGGUGAAUUGGAUUUCUGUGCUUUGGAGCAAAACUUGUAAGCAGCUAGGAUUUGGACCAGCUCUGUAUAACCUUUCGUAUUCGGGAAUUUGGCUAGGCAGAACACCACCUUUGAUUGCUGUAAGACUUGAUAUAAGAUUUUGAUGUUCUGGUAUGCUAUAUACUGUUGUCUUCUUCACAAACUUAUUGUAGACGUUGGAGUUUAACGUUCUUUUUGUGUAUGUUGAAUCCUAUGACCAGCUAAUAUGUACGGUAAAUGUCUUGCAUUAACUCCAGA